rnacentral:snRNA from 1 species
GAUAGCACCUAUACUAAAAUUAGAACAAUACAGAGAUUAGCAAGGCCCCUGUGCAAGAAUUACAUGCAAAUUUGCAAAGCCUUCCACAUUUAA